GCGUCUGUAGCCUAGUUGGUAAAAGGCAGCACUCUAGUAUGUGUCUCAGCAUAGCUGAGGUUGUGAGUUCGACUCUCACCAGACACA
rnacentral:tRNA from 1 species